CCAUUUCUGUAUCACUGCCUGAACUAAACUUUUUCUGUUUUCUGUACCACACUGUCUGAUUAUUGACUCAGGCCUGUUUCUUCAACUACACUCUGCUCUUUCCCCAUUACUCCAGUCACACAUUCCGGUUUCCUUGCCUGCCCAGAACCAUCACCUUCUCUCACUUUAUGACUUGGCAGAAUAUAAGUAGCAAUGUGAAAGGCGGCUGUUAAUGGCAGAAACCAGCUGCACUGGCAUUUGAGGAAACCACAAGAUAGGACCCAACAUGGAGCAACCUUCUCAUUUGAUGAAAAUGGAGAAUAUAUCACUGGGUUACGGAUCUAUAAAGGUAUCACAGAUGCAGAUGAAAUGAAUAACAACUUCUUUGCUGAGUUUUCACCUUGGGCUCCACCAGAUCAGCAGCUGAACAUCACUUUAUCAUUAAUAAAAUGGAAGACAAAUAACAAUGAAUAGCAGGUUCUUGUUAAAUAUUGUACCUUUCAACUUCUGGGCCAAGUAUCUACACAGUGACCUUCAUAAAAGACACCAGUAGAAGAU